rnacentral:lncRNA from 10 species
GACUCCCGAUGUGGUGGGCGGGGCUGAACCCUGUGGCUUCUGAGGUCCCUGCCAGCCAGAGACUUGUGUCAGCUGAGGCUGUCCAUUGAUGCCCAGGACCGGGUUCUGCUGCUUCACAUUAUAGAAGGUAAAGGCCUGAUCAGCAAACAGCCUGGCACCUGUGAUCCGUAUGUGAAGAUUUCUUUGAUCCCUGAAGAUAGUAGACUACGCCACCAGAAGACGCAGACCGUUCCAGACUGCAGAGACCCGGCUUUCCACGAGCACUUCUUCUUUCCUGUCCAAGAGGAGGAUGAUCAGAAGCGUCUCUUGGUUACUGUGUGGAACAGGGCCAGCCAGUCCAGACAGAGUGGACUCAUUGGCUGCAUGAGCUUUGGGGUGAAGUCUCUCCUGACUC